UACGUAGGGUGCAAGCGUUAAUCGGAAUUACUGGGCGUAAAGCGUGCGCAGGCGGCUUUGCAAGACAGAUGUGAAAUCCCCGGGCUUAACCUGGGAACUGCAUUUGUGACUGCAUGGCUGGAGUGCGGCAGAGGGGGAUGGAAUUCCCGGUGUAGUGGUGAAAUGCGUAGAGAUCGGGAGGAACACCCGUGGCGAAGGCGGCCACCUGGGCCGACCCUGACGCUGAGGCGCGAAGGCGUGGGGAGCGAACGGG
rnacentral:rRNA from 1 species